rnacentral:lncRNA from 1 species
UCCCCCCAGCAGUUAAUCUGAAUGGGGCAGACUUACAACCCAGAUUUUUACUAGUUUCCUGGAAAAGUGUCAUGGAGUCACUCACCUUAGAGUCUGAAUUCUGCUAAGUCACCAUCCACUUCAAAAACGAGUUAACUGAAUCCAAAGGCCUAAAAACAGAAUCUUGGGGGAGGGGGACAAAGACAACAGGGGGUCUGUAAGAGCAUUUAUGUAACUAGGAACAUCUGUUUUGGGGGCUGUUUUGUAGUAUUAUUGUGGAAAUAAGUUCAACUACUAAACUCUAACCAUAAAACAGACACAAAAAUCUAAUACAGAAAGUUCUUUAGAGAUCAUCCAUCAGAGUAGAACCUUAGUCAUAGAAACUCGCUCAGAACAUACCAAUCUAAAUAACCAAACUUCCCAAGUGCCAAUAAAGAUAUAUCAAAUAUGAACUCUUUUGGCUAUAAGUCUGAGGCUCAUUACAUCCUUCUCUGUCUUUUUAAACCAUGCCUGAGAAACAGAACCAUUAAGUGGAGAUUAAGUCAUCACUCAUUCAGUUUCACUACACACCAGUGAUAACUUAGCCACAGAGAUAUUACCAAAGUGACCCAAACUCAUAUGCUGUCCCAGUGCAAGCCUGUCUCCUUCUAAAAACUAUAAUCAAGAUUUCAAAGAUCAUAUGAAAUGUAAAAAUAUGCAUGGGGGCUUUGUGGCAUUUAUUUUGAUCUGACACCAACUUUUGCUAUUCUCCCAAAUCCUUAAUAUGUUCAGAUAUGGUGUUGCCAGACGCCCCCAGUACCUGCCCAACUGGCAAAUCCAGAGGCUUCUUGUCCUUCCCCACCUCUUGAAAGCCUGCCAUCAUUCUUCCUACACACAGCAAUACUACUAACUCCCACACCAAAUUUCUAGGAAAUUAAUUAAGAUUACUUUUUCAGUUGAUGGUAAAGUACGUAAUCUCAAAGAAAAUGCUGAAACCUGAAAGGUUGCAGGGGAAUGAAUUCUACCACUUCUGGUAGAAUUUACCGAUUUUCAUAAGUUACAGAGUAUUAAGUAUUAAGGUAUUCUGAAACAAUUAAAAAUUGUUAAAAAAUACAACUAAAAGAAUCUAUAUAUAUAAACAUGCAAUUCAUUUCUUUCCUUUUUUUUUUUUUUUUUUUUUUUUUGAGACAGAAUCUUGCUCUGUCGCCCAGGCUGGAGUGCAGUGGCAUGAUCUUGGCUCACUGCAACCUCCACCUCCUGGGUUCAAGCGAUUCUCCUGCCUCAGCCUCCCGAGUAGCUGGGACUACAGGUGCUUGCCACCACACCUGGCUAAUUUUUUUUUUUUGUAUUUUUAGUAGAGACAAGGUUUCACCAUGUUAGCCAGGAUGGUCUUGAUCUCCUGACCUCGUGAUCUGCCUGCCUCCUGACAGUCACACCUUCUCUCUGCACAUAAGAGAUGUAGAGAGGUGGCCAGGCACAGUGGCUCAUGCCUGUAAUCCCAGCACUUUGGGAGGCCAAGGUAGGUGGAUCACCUGAGGUCAGGGAGGGAGGGUCCUGCCCGCUCCGGCCCCUGGCGCCCAGGUGACAGACCCUGGGUCCGACGCACCGCGCGGAGGCGAAGGCAGAAGACCGAGAGCAGGCGGGACGGCUCUCGGCCUAGAAAUUUAAGAUUACAUAUGUGGCUCUCAUUCCACUUUAUUGAAACAGUACUGAUGUAGACCUUGAUUUACACUUUGCAAAGCAGUUUUCCCAUACACCUGCUGCACACCAUACACUUUUCCCAUGCACCUGUUAGGAAUCAUGGACCUGGGCGGUUCAAUAAUAGACUAAAUUCUAGUCUAGCCAAAGCUCUAGGCGACACUGAACCUAGUAAGAGUUUAACACUGUAAUUGGAGUUACUCUGUCCUAGAUCCCGGCUCACACUCACAUAAGGGACCUCCCUCACCCUACCCCCCCGAAUUCUGAACCAGCUCCCCCAGCGGGGGUCCCAGAGCUUUGGACAAUCCCA